CGGAAGUAUCCUCACCGUGUAAAUGAUGCUGAGGGACGGGCUUUGCCUUCCGCUGAUCGUGGCGAUGAUCCCGCGGAUUCUGACCGCCUACGUGGAUCAAUCGCCUUCCUCCCUGACCGUCCAGGAGGGAAAGACGGCUACUCUCUCGUGUACACUGCUGAAUACGGUCUAUACAAAUAUGUACUGGUACCGACAGCGCUCCGGCCGGGCAAUAGAUGCUCUCUUCUAUUCAGCUGGGCAAGAUUCAGCUAUGAACUACACUUCUGAUUCCUACGCGGCGACAAGACCCAGCAGCACUCUGUUUAAACUGGAACUGAAACAGGCAUCGUCCUCCCACUCGGCCGUCUACUUCUGCGCUUGUAGUAGCGCACAGAAGUUGAAAUAA